rnacentral:lncRNA from 1 species
AAGCAUUUCUAUAUUUUGCCAUCACUUCAUCAGAUGAAUGAAAUCCUUUUAGUUGUUGCAUUGUGCUGGUUUUGUACUUUAGAAGUAUUAGAAUGUCACAGAUUCAACAUUUACUCUCUAUAGCUUAUUGAAAUGUGAAAUAGUUACACGUGUUCAGUUUUCCUCCCAUUGAUUUUCUUCUAAAAAAGGAAAACUACAUAUCGGGGGAGAGAAGACGGAUGACUCAUGGGCUUAACUUCAUCUACAUCUACAAAUUGGGACAAGCUUGAUGUCAUGAAACAAGCAUGGGACGAACUCUGCAUCACAUNNNN